rnacentral:rRNA from 1 species
UACGGAGGGUGCGAGCGUUGUCCGGAAUCACUGGGCGUAAAGGGCGCGUAGGCGGCCUGGUAAGUAGGGGGUGAAAUCCUGCGGCUUAACCGCAGGGCUGCCUUCUAAACUGUCAGGCUCGAGCACGGUAGAGGCAGAUGGAAUUCCCGGUGUAGCGGUGGAAUGCGUAGAGAUCGGGAGGAACACCAGUGGCGAAGGCGGCGAUCUGGGAAGAUACUGACGCUGAGGUGCGAAAGCGUGGGGAGCAAACAGG